rnacentral:rRNA from 1 species
GACGAACGCGGGCGGCGUGCCUAAUACAUGCAAGUAGAACGCUGAAGGAAGGAGCUUGCUCUUUCCGGAUGAGUUGCGAACGGGUGAGUAACGCGUAGGUAACCUGCCUGGUAGCGGGGGAUAACUAUUGGAAACGAUAGCUAAUACCGCAUAAUAGCAGUUAUUGCAUGAUAACUGUUUGAAAGGUGCAAAUGCAUCACUACCAGAUGGACCUGCGUUGUAUUAGCUAGUUGGUGGGGUAACGGCUCACCAAGGCGACGAUACAUAGCCGACCUGAGAGGGUGAUCGGCCACACUGGGACUGAGACACGGCCCAGACUCCUACGGGAGGCAGCAGUAGGGAAUCUUCGGCAAUGGACGGAAGUCUGACCGAGCAACGCCGCGUGAGUGAAGAAGGUUUUCGGAUCGUAAAGCUCUGUUGUAAGAGAAGAACGAGUGUGAGAGUGGAAAGUUCACACUGUGACGUAUCUACCAGAAAGGACGCA